ACUCCUACGGGAGGCAGCAGUGGGGAAUAUUGGACAAUGGGCGCAAGCCUGAUCCAGCCAUGCCGCGUGAGUGAUGAAGGCCCUAGGGUUGUAAAGCUCUUUCACCGGAGAAGAUAAUGACGGUAUCCGGAGAAGAAGCCCCGGCUAACUUCGUGCCAGCAGCCGCGGUAAUACGAAGGGGGCUAGCGUUGUUCGGAAUUACUGGGCGUAAAGCGCACGUAGGCGGAUCGAUCAGUCAGGGGUGAAAUCCCAGGGCUCAACCCUGGAACUGCCUUUGAUACUGUCGAUCUGGAGUAUGGAAGAGGUGAGUGGAAUUCCGAGUGUAGAGGUGAAAUUCGUAGAUAUUCGGAGGAACACCAGUGGCGAAGGCGGCUCACUGGUCCAUUACUGACGCUGAGGUGCGAAAGCGUGGGGAGCAAACAGGAUUAGAAACCCUAGUAGUCCCA
rnacentral:rRNA from 1 species